rnacentral:rRNA from 1 species
UACGGGGGGGGGUAAGCGUUGUUCGGAAUUACUGGGCGUAAAGGGCUCGUAGGUGGCCAACUAAGUCAGACGUGAAAUCCCUCGGCUUAACCGGGGAACUGCGUCUGAUACUGGAUGGCUUGAGUUUGGGAGAGGGAUGCGGAAUUCCAGGUGUAGCGGUGAAAUGCGUAGAUAUCUGGAGGAACACCGGUGGCGAAGGCGGCAUCCUGGACCAACACUGACACUGAGGAGCGAAAGCCAGGGGAGCAAACGGG